rnacentral:rRNA from 1 species
AGAGUUUGAUCAUGGCUCAGAUUGAACGCUGGCGGCAGGCCUAACACAUGCAAGUCGAACGGUAACAGAAAGCAGCUUGCUGCUUUGCUGACGAGUGGCGGACGGGUGAGUAAUGUCUGGGAAACUGCCUGAUGGAGGGGAUAACUACUGGAAACGGUAGCUAAUACCGCAUAACGUCGCAAGACCAAAGAGGGGGACCUUCGGGCCUCUUGCCAUCGGAUGUGCCCAGAUGGGAUUAGCUUGUUGGUGGGGUAACGGCUCACCAAGGCGACGAUCCCUAGCUGGUCUGAGAGGAUGACCAGCCACACUGGAACUGAGACACGGUCCAGACUCCUACGGGAGGCAGCAGUGGGGAAUAUUGCACAAUGGGCGCAAGCCUGAUGCAGCCAUGCCGCGUGUAUGAAGAAGGCCUUCGGGUUGUAAAGUACUUUCAGCGGGGAGGAAGGGAGUAAAGUUAAUACCUUUGCUCAUUGACGUUACCCGCAGAAGAAGCACCGGCUAACUCCGUGCCAGCAGCCGCGGUAAUACGGAGGGUGCAAGCGUUAAUCGGAAUUACUGGGCGUAAAGCGCACGCAGGCGGUUUGUUAAGUCAGAUGUGAAAUCCCCGGGCUCAACCUGGGAACUGCAUCUGAUACUGGCAAGCUUGAGUCUCGUAGAGGGGGGUAGAAUUCCAGUGUAGCGGUGAAAUGCGUAGAGAUCUGGAGGAAUACCGGUGGCGAAGGCGGCCCCCUGGACGAAGACUGACGCUCAGGUGCGAAAGCGUGGGGAGCAAACAGGAUUAGAUACCCUGGUAGUCCACGCCGUAAACGAUGUCGACUUGGAGGUUGUGCCCUUGAGGCGUGGCUUCCGGAGCUAACGCGUUAAGUCGACCGCCUGGGGAGUACGGCCGCAAGGUUAAAACUCAAAUGAAUUGACGGGGGCCCGCACAAGCGGUGGAGCAUGUGGUUUAAUUCGAUGCAACGCGAAGAACCUUACCUGGUCUUGACAUCCACAGAACUUUCCAGAGAUGGAUUGGUGCCUUCGGGAACUGUGAGACAGGUGCUGCAUGGCUGUCGUCAGCUCGUGUUGUGAAAUGUUGGGUUAAGUCCCGCAACGAGCGCAACCCUUAUCCUUUGUUGCCAGCGGUCCGGCCGGGAACUCAAAGGAGACUGCCAGUGAUAAACUGGAGGAAGGUGGGGAUGACGUCAAGUCAUCAUGGCCCUUACGACCAGGGCUACACACGUGCUACAAUGGCGCAUACAAAGAGAAGCGACCUCGCGAGAGCAAGCGGACCUCAUAAAGUGCGUCGUAGUCCGGAUUGGAGUCUGCAACUCGACUCCAUGAAGUCGGAAUCGCUAGUAAUCGUGGAUCAGAAUGCCACGGUGAAUACGUUCCCGGGCCUUGUACACACCGCCCGUCACACCAUGGGAGUGGGUUGCAAAAGAAGUAGGUAGCUUAACCUUCGGGAGGGCGCUUACCACUUUGUGAUUCAUGACUGGGGUGAAGUCGUAACAAGGUAACCGUAGGGGAACCUGCGGUUGGAUCACCU